rnacentral:rRNA from 1 species
UACGUAGGGAGCAAGCGUUGUCCGGAAUCAUUGGGCGUAAAGCGCGUGUAGGCGGCCCGAAAAGUCUGGUGUGAAAUCUUAAGGCUCAACCUUAAGCUGUCACUGGAUACUGUCGGGCUUGAGUCCGGAAGAGGAGAGUGGAAUUCCUGGUGUAGCGGUGGAAUGCGCAGAUAUCAGGAGGAACACCUAUGGCGAAGGCAGCUCUCUGGUACGUGACUGACGCUGAGACGCGAAAGCGUGGGGAGCAAACAGG